CGAUCACUGUAUGAUUAUUAAUAAGGCGUAUGUGUGUCCAGUAGAUGGACGCAUUUAUCGUAUAAUAAGUAUUACGGCAAUACAUUGUAUUAUACGUCAUCACGUUUCCGCAGACACGGGCGAAAUCUGGAGCCGAUUAUUCGAUCAUCGUCCGUUCGUCCAAGGAGAAAUUACAUUCUUCUUGCGAGAAUUUCAGGAAAAGAGAGCUGACAGGGAAGUAGAACGUCUUUUUAAGAUACUUGAAUAUGCAACGGAAUUGAAAGAAAGUCAACUAGAUCGUACCGAGCAAUUGGGAGAUUGUCAUUUACCUAGUCUCAAAGCAAAUGUGGAUGUUGCAUUGAGCAUGUGUAACCGUGUCUUACAGAGAGAAGAAAAUUUUGAUAGUGAUAGCAUUUUAAAUGAAAACAGACUAAUUAGAAGAAAGGAGUGGGAAAAAUUUGUGAAUGAUAUGAGUGAUAAGUGUCAAAAAGUGGAUCAAACCUUCCAAGAGAAAGAAAACGAAAUACAGGAGUUCUAUGUAGAUUUGGAGAAAAAAUUGCAUAUUACAGCAUAGGAUAAUACAUUCGCAAAUUUGCUUCUCUACAUACAUCUUGUCCUAGCAUUGAUCCAACUUAUGACAUUUUUCAGAAAAGUAUCACACCACGGAAUCCAGAGUUGGAAGCUAGAAUAAAGAAGUUAAAGGCACAACAAGAUGCUAGAGAAUAUCGAG